rnacentral:tRNA from 1 species
GCCUGGGUGGCUCAGUCGGUUGAGCCUCCGACUUCGGCUCAGGUCAUGCAUGAUCUCACCGUUCGUGGGUUCGAGCCCCGCGUCAGGCU